CGGCUUUCCCUGCUUCUCGGCGAGAUCCGAAACCGCGACAAUGGCCGCAAUCCAAGCUCUCGAGCCUCGCGGGUGGGGAAAAUAGUAUGCGGGGAAAUCCUCGAGCUUUAUAGGGGCGUCGGUUUGGCGAAAAAGGCAACGAAUCACGGAAUAGACGGAGUCGGUUUUCCCCCGGUGGAAUCCUGUUCGUCCACGGCACAAGGAAGGAGAAGAACAGCGCGCUGACAAGUGGGUCCAGGCGCGCAGUGAGAGAGCUGGCGGGGCCAGUUCGUCAGCCAAGGAAAGGGGGAGAAAUCAGCGCGCAGAGAGCUGGCCGCUGGGCCGCGCAGCGUGCUGGGCUCGGGCGGGGGAAUUGGGCCGGGGCGAGGAGGAAGAAUGGGCCGGUUGCGCGUUUGGGCCGAGGGGGAAAAGGGAGAAGGGAAACUGGGCGCAUUGCUGCUGGGCCUUCCAGGCCGAAACCGGAGAGAGGAAAAGGAUUUGCUCCUUCUUUUGUUUUUUUUUCUUUUAAAGCCUUUUCAAAACAAUUUAAAAAUCAGUUUGAAAAUAUUUUGACUUUCCCCUAAAUCACACAGCACAAGAGAGUAAAUGCUCCAAUAAGAAUGCACAACAAGUUGCUACAUCCUAUGAUAAAUUUUAAAUAAAUGAAAAAUAUUAUUUUCCUAUAUUUUCAUGAGCACAGAAUACAAAAUUAAAUCAUUUUUCUCCUAUUUCAAAAGUUGUAAAUUUUUGGGUGUUACAAAUCUACCCCCCUUAAAAUGAAUCUCGUCCUCGAGAUUCAGAAGAGCACGGAUUCCAAAAGAGAAAACAAGCACAAGAUCUUGAUAUCUAAUUCAACUUCACAACUUGUAUUCCAAAAGCAGACACUCAU
rnacentral:lncRNA from 1 species